GACGAACGCUGGCGGCGUGCCUAACACAUGCAAGUCGAGCGGAGGCAUCUGAAGAGCAAUCGGAGGGUGCCUGAGCGGCGGACGGGUGAGUAACGCGUGAGCAACCUGCCUUUCACAGGGGGAUAACGCAGCGAAAGCUGCACUAAUACCGCAUGAGACCACAAUGGCGAUGUCAAAGGGGUCAAAGGAGCGAUCCGGUGAGAGAUGGGCUCGCGUCCGAUGAGGUAGUUGGUGAGGUAAAGGCCCACCAAGCCAAUGAUCGGUAGCCGGCCUGAGAGGGUGAACGGCCACAUUGGAACUGAGAGACGGUCCAAACUCCUACGGGAGGCAGCAGUGGGGAAUAUUGGGCAAUGGGGGAAACCCUGACCCAGCAACGCCGCGUGAGGGAAGAAGGUUUUCGGAUUGUAAACCUCUGUCCUUGGUGACGAAAAAAAUGACGGUAGCCAAGGAGGAAGCCCCGGCUAACUACGUGCCAGCCGCCGCCGUAAUAC
rnacentral:rRNA from 1 species